rnacentral:tRNA from 1 species
UCUAUUAUGGCAGAUUAGUGCAAUGGACUUAAAAACCAUAUAUAAAGUUUACCUUUUUUUAGAA